rnacentral:rRNA from 1 species
UAGCAUAUCAAUAAGCGGAGGAAAAGAAACUAACAAGGAUUCCCCUAGUAACUGCGAGUGAAGCGGGAAAAGCUCAAAUUUAAAAUCUGGCAGUCUUUGGCUGUCCGAGUUGUAGUCUGGAGAAGUGCUUUCCGCGCUGGACCGUGUACAAGUCUCUUGGAAUAGAGCGUCAUAGAGGGUGAGAAUCCCGUCUUUGACACGGACUACCAGUGCUUUGUGAUGCGCUCUCAAAGAGUCGAGUUGUUUGGGAAUGCAGCUCAAAAUGGGUGGUAAAUUCCAUCUAAAGCUAAAUAUUGGCGAGAGACCGAUAGCGAACAAGUACCGUGAGGGAAAGAUGAAAAGCACUUUGGAAAGAGAGUUAAACAGUACGUGAAAUUGCUGAAAGGGAAACGCUUGAAGUCAGUCACGUUGGUCAGAACUCAGCCUGGCUUUUGCUUGGUGCAUUUUCUGAUUAACGGGCCAGCAUCAAUUUUGACCAUUGGAAAAAUUCUUUGGGAAUGUGGCUCCUCCGGGAGUGUUAUAGCCCAAGGUUGUAUACAGUGGUUGGGAUUGAGGAACUCAGCACGCCUUUAUGGUCGGGGUUCGCCCACGCUCGUGCUUAGGAUGCUGGCGUAAUGGCUUUAAACGACCCGUCUUGAAACACGGACCAAGGAGUCUAACAUGCCUGCGAGUGUUUGGGUGGAAAACCCGAGCGCGUAAUGAAAGUGAAAGUUGGGAUCUCUGUCGUGGAGAGCACCGACGCCCAUACCAGACCUUCUGUGACGGAUAUGCGGUUGAGCAUGUAUGUUGGGACCCGAAAGAUGGUGAACUAUGCCUGAAUAGGGUGAAGCCAGAGGAAACUCUGGUGGAGGCUCGUAGCGAUUCUGACGUGCAAAUCGAUCGUCAAAUUUGGGUAUAGGGGCGAAAGACUAAUCGAACCAUCUAGUAGCUGGUUCCUGCCGAGU